rnacentral:lncRNA from 1 species
CUUCCUUUCAGAAACCUUUGCAAUUUACCAAUCUGAGUGCAGUAAAAAUAAUGCUCAGCUUGGGCCAGGAUCAUCCAGAUGUUAGCUUCAUGGAAGAUGUGGCACAGGACAAUGCUACGGGCACAGCAUAUUGAAGACUUUGCUUCUGCAGUUGUUUCAAGCAGAGUGCUUGACAGUGUGGACAGUAUUGAUAAUAACACAUUCAAAGAGAAAAGAAGGCAGUCUGACUUUAGGAACCCCAAAUUAGGCCAAGACAAUGCUGAUGAAAGCAACAGGGGAAGGAGUCUGGAACAGAAUUAAAUGCU